UUUUGCGAGAGAAAUUUUCAAUAUAUUCAUCAAUCAUGACAGCACAUAGAAUACAAGAUGUAAUAAAAAUUACAACCAGGUCUAUGGACCACCUAGCGAUGACUACAAGCACUGGAGCGAGCCGAAGGCGCGCCGCCGCCGUCAUCCCUCCAUCACCAGAGCCGGACAAACCUUGUUGUAGUAGAGAGUCGGGAAAUCGUCGCGCUAAGGGCCGAAAGGACCAGUGCAUCAGAGCAGCAACCAUCGCCAAUGAAGAGAGUUGUAAAUCAAAAAAAAAAAUCAAACGUGCAACCACACGAACGAAGACUAACAAAAACUGGAUCCAUAUAGAUCCACCGAAGACCAGCACCGAUUGAAUCUCAUGAGAUUCAACGGAGACACACCUCCACACAUCCUCCGACAAUGCUAUUCGCAACAUCGGGACGGGGAUAGGACGUGGGAGACAUUAUUUUUAGGGAGUGACAUCGCCACCGCCACACAGCUCCGACCAAGACGUUCAACCUAACAAAAACGAGAACGGGGUCCCUCCCGCCAGCAGGGGGCAGAGAUCCUCCGCACCUCCACAGCCCAAAGGCCAUCGGAGAUGGAGCGGAUCGGCGGCGAUGCCGGCGGGAGGAGGAAGAAGACUUUUCUUGCGUUGAUUUUUUGUCUGUGCAUCUCGUAGGUGUCUAGGCGUGUUUAUCGUGUUUGUAUUUCUUUCAUGCUUUUUUUAAACCAAUAAAAUCACCCUUACCUUAGUAAAAUUGCAUACGGUGUGUGUGGCCCAUCAAGCGGUCCGCGUUCAGAAGAUUGACCGAGCGAGUGAUCCCCACGGCGAGCAGGACCGCCCCCCUCCCCUCCCCUCCCCCC
rnacentral:lncRNA from 1 species